AGGAAGUAUUAAAGAAACAAACCUAUCUAUUUUGGCGGCAUUUCAUCUAUUUAGAGGAACUUGUUAUAUAAUCGACAUUACUCGAUAAAUUUAACUUUAAUUAAAAAUUUAUAUAUCGCCAUCUAAAGAUCUAAUUUCAAAAUAUUAAUCUAAAUAAAAAUUAAAAAGUUAGGUCAAGGUUUAAUCAAUAUUAAAGUCAUAAAUGAGUUACUUUAAGAAUUACUUAAGGAUUAAUAUUAAAAACAUUAUUAUAAAAAAGGAUUUAAUAGUAAACUUCAAAAUAAUAAUUUAACUUGAAAAAGAUAAUAAAUGUGC
rnacentral:rRNA from 1 species